rnacentral:rRNA from 1 species
GAGACUCUGUGCGCGUGCAUAUCAAUAAGCGGAGGAAAAGAAACUAACUAGGAUUCCCUCUAGUAACGGCGAGUGAAGCGGGAAGAGCUCAAAUUUGAAAUCUUCAAGGUUCUACCUUGACGAAUUGUAGUUUAAAGAAGUGUUUUCUGUUGGAGUUUUGGAUAAAAGUUCCUUGGAAUAGGACAUCAUAGAGGGUGAGAAUCCCGUAUUUGUACCAUUUCCUCCUAGCUGUUGUGAUACACUUUCAACGAGUCGGAUUGUUUGGGAAUGCAGUCCAAAAUGGGUGGUAAAUUUCAUCUAAAGCUAAAUAUUGGCGAGAGACCGAUAGCGAACAAGUACCGUGAGGGAAAGAUGAAAAGAACUUUGAAAAGAGAGUUAAACAGUACGUGAAAUUGUCAAAAGGGAAGCGUUUGACACCAGUGUUGUUUUUCCGAAAAUCAAUUACGAAUGUUUUAUUUUUGAGGAGUUAUGACUUCAUCGGCUUGCUUCUCACUUUAUGAAACUUUCUUAAUGCACUUUUCGGUUAACAAGUCAACAUCAAUUUCUUUUGUUGUAAAAGGGUAUGAGGAAGGUGGCUUACUCUUUCGGCGUAAGUGUUUAUAGCCUUGUACCUCUGCAAUCGGAGAGAUUGAGGUCUGCAGCGUAGAUCCUUCGGGGUUAGAUACAUUUGUGCUAAGUUAUAGCUUUUCAUAGACAACUUGUUGACUAUGUUUAGUCUUGUAGCUUACUCGCUUACUGCUAUUUUACCUACGCUUAGGAUGUUGACGAUCAGCUGAGCGCG